rnacentral:lncRNA from 1 species
UCUGGUUCAACGGCGCAUUGGGAAGCGCCGAUGUCAUAGGAGUCUUGCCCCUCAUGUCGGUUAUCUGCGAUGUACCUGGCGUCAAUUCUGGAGGCAUACCAUAACCCCACCAAUUAGGAGGAAGAGUCAACCCUGACAUUGCCGAUGCCAACAUGUCUGUUGUCAGUUUAUUCUGCCCACUUGAAGUCUGUGGGUUGGUUGUCAUCGGCACAGAUAGUGCAC